rnacentral:rRNA from 1 species
CCCUUAGAUGUCCUGGGCCGCACGCGCGUUACACUGAUGCAUUCAACGAGCUUAUAACCUUGGCCGAGAGGCCUGGGCAAUCUUGUUAACGUGCAUCGUGAUAGGGAUAGAUUAUUGAAAUUAUUAAUCUUGAACGAGGAAUUCCUAGUAAACGCAGAUCAUCAAUCUGCAUUGAUUACGUCCCUGCCCUUUGUACACACCGCCCGUCGCACCUACCGAUUGGAUGGUCCGGUGAAGCCUCGGGAUUGUGGUUCUUGCCGCUUUAUUGUGGCGUGACCGCGAGAACUUGUCUAAACCUUAUCAUCUAGAGGAAGGUGAAGUCGUANCA